rnacentral:rRNA from 1 species
ACCGUGAGGGAAAGCUGCAAAGCACUUUGAAGAGAGAGUUAAAGAGGACGUGAAACCGGUAAGGUGGAAACGGAUAGAGUCGGCGUAUCAUUCAAUUAUUCAGUUACAUUAUUUUUAUGUUGUGACCUCUGAGCUCCAGAUUGGGACAGAGGGAAUCAGCAUAAAUUUUUGUGGUGCAUUUACUUGAUUGGUGCUUGGGGAUGUUUGAGGCAGAUUUGUUUCCGUCGUUUUGAGGCCAGCUUGCUGGUACCCAAACGGUGUUAGCAUUUUUUGUCUUGGGCAUUUGAGUAUGGCUCACGUGUAUUUAUUGGACAGAUCUGAGUGUAAGUUACGGUCGCAUGCGACACGUGCUUUUCAAUUAGUUCGGUCCAGUUAAUGCUCUCGUACUCGUUCCCCAUGUAAAAGCCGGUCAUCUAUCCGACCCGUCUUGAAACACGGACCAAGGAGUUUAUCGUGUGCGCAAGUUUUUGGGUGUUAAAAACUUAAAAGCGAAAUGAAAGUAAAUGACUCUUUAGAGUCUGAUGUGCGAUCUUGUAAAAAAGUGUAGCAUGGCCCCAUUCUAACUGUUUACAGUAGGGUGGCGGAAGAGCGUACGCGGUGAGACCCGAAAGAUGGUGAACUAUUCCUGAGCAGGACGAAGCCAGAGGAAACUCUGGUGGAAGUCCGAAGCGGUUCUGACGUGCAAAUCGAUCGUCUGACUUGGGUAUAGGGGCGAAAGACUAAUCGAACCAUCUAGUAGCUGGUUCCUUCCGAA